rnacentral:lncRNA from 1 species
GGAGCUCUGGCUGCGUGCUGGCUCCCAGAAGAGGAACCUGCUGCAGGCGCCGGCGCGGGCGGCGAGGACGACCUGUUUUUCUGACCCAGCCCGGAAGCGCUGGUGCAGGCCUUGAGCUUCCUUUUUUCUUCUCGCUGUGGAAAUUGCCUGGAAAGCUAUGAACUGUUGGUUCUUGAAUCAGUUGGCUGCCCCGGAUGUCUGAAUCCCUUGGAAGGAACCUGGAGGAGUUGGCUGAUGGGCUCCAGAGCGGGGCACUUGAGAUGUUCAAAGUGCUUCCUGAGAGACGGCCAAAGGGUGUUCCCUGGGUGGCCUGGGAGUCCAAGAGACAUGUACUCUGGGGCAGGAAGAGGGCAGGUGCUACCGGAUCACCCUAACAACCCUCUGGGACCUGUGGCCAUGUGUUCACAACAGCAGCCAUUACAGGUGUUUCCUGAACUCUUGUCGCGAGCCUCUGUCGGCUCCAUCUCAUCGAUCCUCCCAGCAACCCACAAGGAAGCUUCACAGAGAGGCAGAUGCCACACAGGCCACCCACCCAGAUGCAGAGCCAGAUUCCCUGCGUGGACUGGACGGGAGUUUCCCAGCUGGAGUUCUCUCGGCCAAGCUGCCUGUGACAUGGGGUUGGAGGUGCUCCAGAGAGUCAUGGCCACCCCUGGAGGAAGUGACUUGUGGCUGACUGCUCAAGGGGAAGUCCUGUGGCAGUGGAGUCGUCAGCAUUAAUUCAAAUAAGAUCUCUCCCUGCACACAAUCUGCUUUCGUGUUCCUGAUGGAUUGAAUCAAGAGUGAAUGAGCUCCUACUUCGCGAAAGCAAAACAAACUAAACGCAUCAACCACGACCGCAGAGCCCCCAUCUCUCCCAGGAGGGUGAGCCCAUGUUGUGUUUUCAUUUGUCAGAAAUCUAUCUUAGGAAGCCAUUCCUGAGAUCUGUUCUAAUUUAGGCCAUUUUUAAAAAAAAUAAUGCAGUUGAUUCUUUUCCCGUGAUCUUUCUUUUCUCCAUGACUUAAAUUUCCCCAGGAACUAUUCAAAUGCCGCAUCUGGGGUUUUGUUUUUGUUUUUUGAUGAAGUCAUGACUUUCUUUAAACAGUAAUUAUUAAACAAACCAAAGGGAAA